UACGAAGGGGGCGAGCGUUGUUCGGAAUCAUUGGGCGUAAAGGGCGCGUAGGCGGGUUUGUAAGUCGAUUGUGAAAUCCCUGGGCUUAACCCGGGAAUUGCAGUCGAAACUGCAAGUCUUGAGUUCUCGAGAGGAUGGUGGAAUUCCUGGAGUAGUAGUGAAAUACGUAGAUAUCAGGAGGAACACCGGAGGCGAAGGCGGCCAUCUGGCGAGACACUGACGCUAAGGCGCGAAAGCAUGGGGAGCGAACAGG
rnacentral:rRNA from 1 species